rnacentral:rRNA from 1 species
UACGUAGGGGCCGAGCGUUGUCCGGAUUCAUUGGGCGUAAAGAGCGUGUAGGCGGCCGUACAGGUCAGCUGUGAAAACUCGAGGCUCAACCUCGAGACGUCGGUUGAAACCGUACGGCUAGAGUCCGGAAGAGGAGAGUGGAAUUCCCGGUGUAGCGGUGAAAUGCGCAGAUAUCGGGAAGAACACCCGUGGCGAAGGCGGCUCUCUGGGACGGUACUGACGCUGAGACGCGAAAGCGUGGGGAGCGAACAGG